CAGCCGGUGAGAGACCGGCCGAGGCCAAAAGACUCAGGCCUCGUAGCUUGGGAGGCGCCGUGGCGCGAAAGCAAGACGGCGGAGCCCUUCGACAACAUGCUCGGAAAGGAGUAUGCGCAACGCACCAGGUUGCAAUGUAA
rfam:Freshwater sediment metagenome lwFormaldehyde_BCIB28709_b1, whole genome shotgun sequence.